rnacentral:siRNA from 1 species
ACCAAAAUGGUGUUUAGCCUUGGA